AUGCUUGUGCACAACUUCCACCUUGAUGAACAAGCCGAAGAUGAAAUUGUUUGGAAACACGCGAAUGACGGAAUCUACACGGCGGCUACCGCAUACAAGGCUCAGUUCCUUGGCUUGACCCUCUCUCCCAUGGACCGCAUGGUCUGGAAGGUUUGGGCUCCUCCCAAGGUUAAAUUCUUUUCCUGGUUGGCAUUGCAAGAUAGGAUUUGGACCGCCGAUCGCUUGGAGAGGCGUGGGUGGCCAAAUUGCGGCCUCUGCCCUCUUUGCAAGAGGGAGCAGGAAACGGGUGCUCACCUUUUCUUCAAGUGCCGCUACACGAUUAGGCUUUGA
rnacentral:rRNA from 1 species